rnacentral:autocatalytically_spliced_intron from 1 species
GAGAGCCGUGUGCGGGAAAAUCGCCGGCACGAUUCGGAAAUAGGGGAGGCUGGCACUCUUUUUUAGCUUCUGUAAA